CCUACGAGUGGCAGCAGUGGGGAAUAUUGGACAAUGGGGGCAACCCUGAUCCAGCCAUGCCGCGUGUGUGAAGAAGGCCCUCGGGUUGUAAAGCACUUUCAGUGAGGAAGAACGCCUGGUGGUUAAUACCCAUCAGGAAAGACAUCACUCACAGAAGAAGCACCGGCUAACUCCGUGCCAGCAGCCGCGGUAAUACGGAGGGUGCGAGCGUUAAUCGGAAUUACUGGGCGUAAAGCGCGCGUAGGUGGCUUGAUAAGCCGGUUGUGAAAGCCCCGGGCUCAACCUGGGAACGGCAUCCGGAACUGUCAAGCUAGAGUGCAGGAGAGGAAGGUAGAAUUCCCGGUGUAGCGGUGAAAUGCGUAGAGAUCGGGAGGAAUACCAGUGGCGAAGGCGGCCUUCUGGACUGACACUGACACUGAGGUGCGAAAGCGUGGGUAGCAAACAGGAUUAGAUACCCGUGUAGUC
rnacentral:rRNA from 1 species